GUUUGUUACGAAAAUGCUUAUAGUCUAACCUGCUCACUGAUGUAAAUAUUAAAUAGCCGCGGUAUCCUGACCGUGCAAAGGUAGCAUAAUCAUUAGCUUCUUAAUUGGAACCUGGUAUGAAUGGUUGGACGAGGAGGUAACUGUCUCUUUUAUUGAAAUUGAAUUUAACUUUUAAGUGAAAAGGCUUAAAUAACUCAAGGGGACGACAAGACCCUAUAAAGCUUUAUAAGUUGAUAAAUUUUAUUUAUAUUUACGUAAAAAUGAGUUUUUAAAUCUUAUUAGGUUGGGGCGACGAAAGUAUAAAAUAGUAACUGCUUUUAGCUAACACAAAUAUAUCUGAAUAUUAUAAAUACUAAUUGAUCCUUUGUAAAGAUUCUAAGACCAAGUUACUUUAGGGAUAACAGCGUUAUUUUUUCUGAGAGUUCUUAUCAAAGAAAAAGUUUGCGACCUCGAUGUUGAAUUAAAUUGUCUUUAUAGUGCAGCAGCUAUAGAAGAAGGUCUGUUCGACCUUUAAUAAUUUACAUG
rnacentral:rRNA from 1 species